rnacentral:pre_miRNA from 1 species
UCCCAGGGUCGGAGAGCCCGGCGCUGUCGCACCAGAGCACGGGUGAGACUCCCGGGUUUGGUGACAGCGUCAGAGCUCUGGGCCCUGUGC